GACGAACGCUGGCGGCGUGCUUAACACAUGCAAGUCGAACGGAAAGGCCCUGCUUUUGUGGGGUGCUCGAGUGGCGAACGGGUGAGUAACACGUGAGUAACCUGCCCUUGACUUUGGGAUAACUUCAGGAAACUGGGGCUAAUACCGGAUAGGAGCUCCUGCUGCAUGGUGGGGGUUGGAAAGUUUCGGCGGUUGGGGAUGGACUCGCGGCUUAUCAGCUUGUUGGUGGGGUAGUGGCUUACCAAGGCUUUGACGGGUAGCCGGCCUGAGAGGGUGAACGGCGAAAAUGGGACUGAGAUACGGCCCAGACUCCUACGGGAGGCAGCAGUGGGGAAUAUUGCACAAUGGGCGGAAGCCUGAUGCAGCAACGCAGCGUGCGGGAUGACGGCCUUCGGGUUGUAAACCGCUUUCGCCUGUGACGAAGCGUGAGUGACGGUAAUGGGUAAAGAAGCACCGGCUAACUACGUG
rnacentral:rRNA from 1 species